rnacentral:rRNA from 1 species
UACGUAGGGGGCAAGCGUUGUCCGGAUUUAUUGGGCGUAAAGAGCUCGUAGGUGGUUCGGUAAGUCGGAUGUGAAAUCUCCAGGCUCAACCUGGAGGGGUCAUUCGAUACUGCCGUGACUAGAGGUCGGUAGGGGAGUGUGGAAUUCCUGGUGGAGCGGUGAAAUGCGCAGAUAUCAGGAGGAACACCCGUAGCGAAGGCGGCACUCUGGGCCGAUACUGACGCUAAGGCGCGAAAGCGUGGGGAGCGAACAGG